rnacentral:rRNA from 1 species
CUACGGGUCGCUCCAGUGAGGAAUAUUGCACAAUGGGGGGAACCCUGAUGCAGCAACGCCGCGUGGAGGAUGACGCAUUUCGGUGUGUAAACUCCUUUUAUAUGUCAAGAAAAUGACGGUAGCAUAUGAAUAAGCACCGGCUAACUCCGUGCCAGCAGCCGCGGUAAUACGGAGGGUGCAAGCGUGACUCGGAAUCACUGGGCGUAAAGGACGCGUAGGCGGGAUAUCAAGUCAGGUGUGAAAUCCUACAGCUUAACUGUAGAACUGCACUUGAAACUGGUAACCUAGAGUAUGGGAGGGGGAGAUGGAAUUAGUGGUGUAGGGGUAAAAUCCGUAGAUAUCACUAGGAAUACCUAAAGCGAAGGCGAUCUCCUGGAACAUUACUGACGCUAAGGCGUGAAAGCGUGGGGAGCAAACAGGAUUAGAUACCCGGGUAGUC